rnacentral:tRNA from 1 species
UGCAUCGGCCGGGAAUCGAACCCUGCCGCCCGCGUGGCAGGCGAGCAUUCUACCACUGAACCACCGAUGG